AGGGAAUAAGCCCGGGGCUGGGACCGUGCAAUCAGACCCCCUCCUGGCGAAGGCUCCGGUCCCUCCUGCCCAUCCAGGCUCAGGCUGCGGCAGCAGGGCAGAGGCGUGUUCGCUCCGGGUGGGGGUGGCUAAGCGAAAUGGCUGCCUCUUUAAUUCCCAGGGUGUGGUGCCCCCUGCGCCUCCCUACCUCGGCCCUGUCAGGAGGGACCAUCAUCACACAAAUGAAUGGAAAACUAGAAAGAAAUUCUAUGUAACGUGGGCAGCACUGGAUGGACGUCUGAUGGCUCGUCACUUCCGAAAGGUUGAGAGCCCUUGGCUGAGGCCGAUGAACGAGAGGGCAAGUGUAAAUCCUGUGUAACUGAACGCUCUCCUGCCUAGGCACACCUGCCGCCCCCGGGAGACGCCGCUGCAGAGGGUCCGGUGUGAGCGCAGGCAUCAGGCUCUGGAGCUCAGCGCCUGCCCGCAGCCUGGCCCUCCGACCGCGGCUGAGCGUCCGACACUGGCUCCUGGCCGGACGCCGGGAGGAGAAGAGACCGCGCACCAGUCCGCGGCCUGCUGCUGGCGGCGGGAGAAGGGGCCGCACACCCCACAGGCUCUUGGUUCUCAGUUGUUAAAUUUGAGUUGUUUUUGGUGAAAUGUUCCUUUUAGAGAGUUUUAGGUAGAAGCCCACACGUAGAGCGAAAAGCGUGUCAGUAAGAACCUGGCCUGAGAGUCCCUCUCCUAGAGGGGCUGCCGGGUCAAAUGUUGAAUGAAACACUGGGGGGUUAUCGUCAGAAUUUCAGUCCUGGCUCUUGCAUCACCCAAGCUGUGUUUCUGAGAACGUGCUAGUAUAGGUUGCCCUUGUUAUACUUAAUGCAAAUUAAACUUUUUAUUUUUAAAGAAA